AUGGACGUCCCAAAGGAGCAAAUCGCUGCUCUUCUCGAUAAUGCUCUCUUUGGCUCCGCUCAAGUUCUCGGUUCUUUUCUUGUUUCAUCAUCUACCGUUAAUGCCGAAACUAGUCCACAUCUCAAGGCUGAAAAUCUGAUUCUUCUUGGCGAUGCUUUGUUUCGGGAGAGAGAGUACCGUAGAACAAUUCAUACAUACAAACAAGCCCUGCAGUAUUACAAGAUUAUUCCCAAGCAAAAUUCAACAACUUCUAGAAGCUCAUUGUCUGCCUCAAACCGGUCUUCUUCUCCGAAUUCUUUUAACAUUUCAGCGAUAAAUGAAAACGAGGUGAAGUUCAAAAUUGCUUCUUGUCAUUUUGCUCUAAGUGAAAUUAAAGUGGCCCUUGCAGAGAUGGAGGGAAUACCUAGCAAAGCAAGAAAUUUGCAGAUGAGUUUAUUGAUGGCAAAGCUUUAUCGAAAUACUAAACAUAACCGCGGUGCUGUUACAUGUUACAGGGAAUGUUUAAGGCAAUGUCCUUAUGUCAUUGAGGCUAUCAUUGCCUUGGCUGAAUUAGGGGCCAGUGCCAAGGAUAUAAUUUCAUUGUUCCCUCAGACCCCAUAUAGAAGUGGGAGGGCUCAAUUAGAUCAUGGUGAUUCAAGCCGUUGGCUGCAACGGUAUGUUGAGGCACAAUGUUGCAUUGCUUCAAAUGAUUACAAAGGUGGUUUGGAACUCUUUACAGAACUUUUACAACGUUUCCCUAAUAACAUACACAUAUUGCUUGAAAUGGCAAAGGUUGAAGCCAUCAUUGGAAAGAAUGAUGAGGCAGCAAUGAAUUUUGAGAAGGUUCGAUCCAUUGAUCCUUAUGUUAUGACUUACAUGGAUGAGUAUGCAAUGCUUCUAAAGAUGAAGUCUGAUUAUUCAAAGUUGAAUAAGUUAGUGCAUGAUUUGCUGAGUAUUGAUCCUACAAGACCCGAGGUUUUUGCGGCUCUAUCUGUAUUGUGGGAAAGGAAAGAUGAAAAGGGUGCUCUAUCUUAUGCUGAAAAGAGCAUCAAAAUUGAUGAGAGGCACAUACCAGGUUAUAUAAUGAAGGGUAACCUGCUCUUAUCAUUGAAGCGGCCAGAAGCUGCUGUAAUGGCCUUCAGGGGAGCUCAAGAAUUGAGAGCUGAUCUUCGUUCGUAUCAAGGUUUAGUUCAGUCGUAUCUGGCAUUUUCUAAAGUCAAGGAGGCCCUCUAUGCUGCUAGAGAGGCAAUGAAGGCAAUGCCUCAUUCUGCAAAGGCACUGAAAUUAGUUGGUGAUGUUCAUGCUAGCAAUUCCAGUGGCAGGGAGAAGGCAAAAAAAUUCUAUGAAUCAGCGCUCAGGCUGGAACCUGGUUACCUUGGAGCUGCAUUAGCUUUAGCUGAGCUCCAUGUCAUUGAGGGCCAAAAUAGAGAUGCCGUAUCUCUACUUGAACGUUAUCUCAAAGAUUGGGCUGAUGACUCUCUUCAUGUCAAACUGGCUCAAGUAUUUGCUGCCACAAAUAUGCUUCAAGAGUCCUUGUCACAUUAUCAAUCGGCAUUGAGAAUAAAUCCUCAGAAUGAAGCUGCGAAAAAAGGGUUGGAACGCCUGGAAAAGCAGAUGAAGGGAGUGGAUCCAGAUGCACCUGAAGAAGAGGAAGAAAAUGAGGUUGAAGAUGCGGAUGCAGACCAAGAAGAGACUGAGCUUUUGUAAGCUUGUGGCCAAGGUCUUCAAUCGAAUAGGAUCCUGAAUUCAUUUGUUGAGAAGAAAACUGAUUAUGAAUCAAGAUGUCGACAAUAUGGUUACAGUAAGAUAUGAGUUCAUUUAAAUUUUAUGAAUUUCCACUGCCUAUUCAAAACUACUACUACUGCAACUAUCUCUGGUUUAUCAUGAAUGAACCCUUUGUAAAAGUGUUGAAAUCUGAAAAUGUGAACCUGAACCUCAUGUUCCAGUGGACGAUUGGUUCAAAUUCUUUGCGCUUUGGGACUGGUAAGAUGUACAUAAGUUCUAUAGCAAUCAAACACCCAUUUGCAUUGUUUGAAAGAUAGAGGCUAAAACUCUUCAGCAGCUGCAAGCUCCCCUCAUUUGACCUGCUACUAUUCGUUUGGCUCGAAUAUAAUGCAGGUCUGCAGCUAGAUUCCUACCGCAAAACUUAUUCAAAGUUCCUCUUAGAAGCCCGCAGAGAUCAAAGCCAUGCCAUAGGUCAUUAGUAUUGAACAGCAGGGGUUUCUUCAAACUAGAAGAAGAGAUUGCGUCCAAGGAAACAUGUGACAUGGUCGAUAUACAUAUGUACAUAGUAAAUUACCAAAUGAAUAUGAAUAUCCAUGCCUUUGUUCAGCAGACGUAGGCUCAGUUCCAGGCAGAUUGAACACUUGUUGAUUCAAACUGUUCCUCCUACCAUCUUGUAUGGCAAAUAGAUAUGGAUAUGACAGUAACUAGUCAGAAAUAGAUAUAUGG